UACGUAGGGAGCAAGCGUUGUCCGGAAUCAUUGGGCGUAAAGCGCGCGUAGGUGGCCCCAUAAGUCCGCUGUGAAAGUCAAAGGCUCAACCUUUGAAAGCCGGUGGAUACUGUGGGACUAGAGUACGGAAGAGGCGAGUGGAAUUCCUGGUGUAGCGGUGGAAUGCGCAGAUAUCAGGAGGAACACCAAUAGCGAAGGCAGCUCGCUGGGACGUUACUGACACUGAGGCGCGAAAGCGUGGGAGCGAA
rnacentral:rRNA from 1 species